GCCCACCCUUGUGUCAGGGUCGGUUAUAACAUCCAUCAGGACAACUUGUGUGUUGUCCUGCGUUGUCUCCGCACGGCUGCUCUAACAGGCGGCUGGGAGGUUAAAGUGUGACUAAGACUGUAUAGUCUUUCAACUCUUGGGUUGUGUUCGGCACCCGGGUUGAUACGACUGUUGCGUCUGUGACACUGGCAUGUGAGCCGAGCGCUGGAGAAGCGGCUCUCUCGUUGCCAACUCAGUACAUUUU
rnacentral:misc_RNA from 1 species